rnacentral:misc_RNA from 1 species
CAGCAUCCACCACUUCGCACCGCGCCGCAAAGCACUGCCAUACGAUACGCGCGCGCCAUUCAUACACGGCGCCCGAGUUGUGCGUGUGCGCAUGUGUGGCCCUUCCCUCGUCAGACAUGGGUGUCCUCUGCAACACGGCGAGCAACCCUAAAAAACGCACCGCCACGUACAUCCCGGCGCUCAGGGCGCUUACGGACAACUACUUCGCCACUCACCACCCGAACGAAAAUGAAUCUGCCCUCUUUUUUGCUUCGCUGCGAGUGGCACUGCGCAGCAUGCUGCACUGCAGCAGGGAAGAGGUGGAUGAGUUCCUAAUCGAUUCUUGCAAACGCAGCGUGAGCACAAGCGCCGCGCUCGACAAGUUCCUGUCGAACAAAAACACAUCAAAGGUGGCGCCAGAUGCCACGGCUGCCAAGAUCAUGCAGGUGUGGAUGAUGUACGACAAAGACAAUAGCGGCGAUUUGAGCUACGCCGAGAUGAAGCGUCUGGUCGAGGGGCUCAGCUUUUCGAAGGACUUGACAGAACGAAUCUUGAAGCCCUUCGAGGACGACAAUCGCCACACCAUCGCCUUUUCCGAGUUUGCGAAGGUGUACUCGAACGCCGUGAGUUUCAGGGAGCUCGGCUACGUCUUCCAGGAUUUGGCGGGGGGCCAGCAGACCAUCUCUCGCGACACCUUCGCCAGCUUUGUAUGCGACAUCCAAGGCGAGGACUGGGAUGCCGAGUUUCUCAACGAGAAGCUCGCUCUUAUGGGCUGCGUCGGCACCGACGGCAUCACGGAGAAUAACUUCGUCGGGUACGUUAUGAGUCCCUACUUCGACUCCGCGGUGGAGAAGAAGAAGCUGACGGACGUCUACCACGACAUGGACCAGAUCAUGUGCUGCUACUUCAUCAGCUCCUCACACAACACGUACCUCACCGGGGACCAGCUCACGAGUAAAUCCUCCUCCCAGAUGUACAAAAAGGCGCUUCUCGACGGGUGCCGGUGCGUGGAGCUUGAUUGCUGGAACGGCCCUCACGGCGAGCCGAUUGUGUACCACGGCUACACCCGCACUUCUCGUAUAGCCUUCGAAGAGUGCGUUAAGACGAUUCGCCAGUACGCCUUUACUGCUUCCGCAUACCCCGUGAUACUCUCACUGGAGGUGCAUACUUCGGUGGAGCAGCAGGAUAGAAUGGCGGAGAUUCUAGAAGGAGGACUGGGCUCGCUGCUCUUCCGGCCUCCGUGGGGCUCCAACGAGAAGCCCACCAUGACCUUCUCACCCAACAACUUAAAGAACAAAAUUCUCGUGAAAGCGAAGCGCGGCGACUUCCCGGCCCGCGAGCCUCGCGUUGACAAAGACGACGACGCAACCGAGACGGACUCGGUGGCGAGCACAAACAACGCCGACUACCUGAAAAUGAAGGAGACUUGCAGGAAGGCCGAGAAGGAUGAGGUUCGGGUGUCAGCGAAGCUGUCCGCCCUUGUCUCCAUCGAGUCCAGCAAGUGCCACGACGUCAAGGACUUAUCAUACCUGAAGGACAAGCAGCCGUACCACUGCUCUUCGUACUCAGAGAGGAAGGGGAAGGCCAUCGCCCGCGAGGCCCACGACGCGCUGGUGCGCAUCAACGACACGUGCCUUAGCCGCGUCUUCCCUGCGGGCUCGCGCAUCGACAGCAGCAACUACAGUCCGCUGCUUUACUGGGCGUCUGGCUUCCAGAUGGUGGCCAUCAAUUGGCAGUCCAGCGAUACCUUCGGCUGGCGCCUCAACCGCUGCUUUUUCCUCGACAACGGCUGCUGCGGGUACCUCCUGAAGCCAGAGCACCUGCGGCCCGUGACCUGCCCCGAUGUGGCCGUCCCGGAGAACUGGCGGUCGCUGACAGUGGAAGUGAUUUCAGGCUUUUCGCUGCCGAGCGCGAGCAAUUCAGAGGUUGCCGAUCCGUUUGUGACAGUUUUCCUCGAGGGCCCCGACGUGGACAGCACGCCAAAGAGCACGCACACAAUCCAUAACAACGGCUUUCACCCUGUCUGGCGCGGAGCGGGGCAGACAGAGUGGAUAUGGACGGUACAUCGGUGGUCCCUGUCGGUCCUCGUGCUCCAGGUCUACGACCACAACAGGUGCAGCUCAUCUCAGCUGCUCGCAGAGGCCAUCAUUCCUCUGCGUAUGCUUCAUAAAGGAUUCCGCAAGGUGUCCUUGAAUGACUCCGCGGGCUACAGCAUACCCGGCAGCUUUCUUGUGUGCCGCGUCGACUACACGGAUGCACCAGAGCGGUUGUGAUAGAUGUGCUUCUGUGCGUUUCGUCGACGUGUAACCAACUGUCACCAUAUCUUCCACCCGCCCCCGUUUUUGCAGAACGGAUAAGUGAGCAUACACCUCACAAGCAGGGGGCGCACAUGUACGUGCGCACGUGCUUGUGUUUCUUCUCCGUGGCACGUGCCCCAUCUGUGCGCUUACACCGCCUUGCCUCACGGCACACGGGGAUGCCGCCCAAGUCUGAUCUCUCUCUUCUCUCGCCACUAUUGUGUGUACGUGCAUCUGCGUCUUUCCACGUCCGUGCGUCUGCGAAGUACGUGCGCGCGUUCGUCGUCACACGCAAACCUACCUCUUCGUUGACCGCCGCCCUCUAUACACUAAGGGAGCGAAAAAGAUGAAUAACGCACAAUAAUAAUGGAACGUUUUUUUUUCUUUCGUUUUCACGCGCGGCAUUUUGGCCCCUGAUGGUUGUGGAACACAGCUAAGUGAGUUGAACCAGCCGGCCGAGUACCCCACUGUCUCUAGGGAAGCCCAGCAGCCCCCCCUCCCCACUUCCUGUGGUGGCAAGCGCCAGCACCUACAACGUAGAGGGCGUCAGAGCGAUCUAUCGCUACCGAUAUCAGCGGUCCAGUGAUGAAUGGCGUGGCGUCGGAGCGGACUGCGACAGCGAAUACGCUUGCAGCAUGUUGUGGGCAAAGGUUCAGCGUGACUCGGACGCAUUCCACCCCCGACCCUCGCUGCCUGCUGAUCAGUGUUUGUGUCUCUGUGUGAGGGGGGGAAGGGACUGAGCCACCGUGAGAGAUGCACCACGUGGCGCCCGGCAUGAUGAAGGCGGCCGUGAGGCGACCUGCGAAGCGUUUAGGUGGGCACAGGACGAGUAAGGGGCCGCGUUCUCAGAUGACUGAGCGGGCGUCGCUCCAGCGCCUGGGUCUACGGCUGCUUCGCACCAGGCGAUGGGCCUGUGGUGAGCCGGGCCACGUUGGAUUCCGUUACUGCGCUAUGACAGCGAAUGAACACACACACCGAAAACGGGAAAAAACUUUUUCGUCUCGGAGAGCUGCAUGAUCUGCGCAACGACUGCCGCGCCACCUCACCUCUAUCAACUCUAUAAGCCUGAAUUGAUACAUCUCUCAUUUUCCUUCAUCCCCUUUCUUUCUCCCUCAUCUGCUCCCCACGUACGUGCGUCUGAGUGUGUGGGUGGUGCACCCCCCCCCUCUCUGUCCUCACUUCCUCGGUGCGUGUGGUGGUGGUUGCGCCUCUCUUGUCGAUUCCUGUAGUUGUCACCUCGUUUCAAAUUGUUUUCAUCUUUUGCAGGUAUAGAUCCUUGUGUGUUUGCACGCCUUCCGUGGUCGCUGUCGUUACUGCGUCGGUUGGUCGCAGACACCUCUUUUCGUCGACUAUAUAUAUAUCUUUCUUUCUUUCGCCCUCGUCUUUUACAUCUACUCCCAUUCGUUCUCUCAUCUCCCUAUAUAUUUGUUUUUCCCACCCGCGGCUCUUCCUCUCCCUCACUCCCUCGGUGCGUGUGGUGGUGGUCGCGCCUCUCUUGUCGAUUCCUGUAGCUGUCACCUCGUUUCAAAUUGUUUUUUCGAAAAUCAAGCGUGUGUGUUUGCACGCCUUCCGUGGUCGCUGUCGUUACUGCGUCGGUUGGUUGCAGACACCUCUUUUCGUCGACUAUAUAUAUCUUUCUUUCGUCCUCGUCUUGUGUAUUUACGCGCAUUCUCUCAUAUCCCUUUUUUUGGUCAGAUCUGAGCCUGACGCUGUCUCGCGAUGCGCUCUUGGCGGUGUGCUCUGUCGGGUCUGCCGUCUCCGUUGCUCUUUUUUUUGGCGUCGCAGACGCUUAUGGUGUUGCUACCUCUUUCCGUAAAGUGCAGAAUCUCGGAGUCCUUCGAGAGCGACAGAUGAGGAAUGAUGUGUGUGUGUUGUCGACGUGGAUGUUCUGUAUCUAACGAGCUAUCAGGUUUUUUUUUUUCGGCCGCGUGUGUUUUAGAGCUAUAUGUUUCCUCUCUCUUUCUAUAAACCGCUGUGGGUCGGAGAUCGAUAUGCGGGUUGGGAAACUGUAUAAGUGUGUGCUUAAGUGUAUAUUUGUGGGUGGGUCCGACGGAUUUGGUUCUUCCUAUUUUCCUGGGGACGUUGGUUGCUCUACGUAUGGUUUGGUGGCGUGGCGCUAGGGGUGUGUGGCGCUGUGGAUGUUGAAUGCUGGGGGCGCGUGUUCAGGCGUGCGCGUGCGUGGUGAAGUGA